rnacentral:misc_RNA from 1 species
CUGGAUGCAAUACUCCAACAACCCUUGCGAAUCUACCGAAACGUUGCCUCGGCGGGGCUCCUCAGGGAGCGCCAACCCGCCGGCGGCCCCAAACUCUGCCUCAUUUAGUGUCUCUCUGAGCAAACUUAAAUAAGUUA